rnacentral:lncRNA from 1 species
GACUUUGCCUGAAGGGCUGUUCUUGAGCAACAGAUGUCAAACGCGAACCCCUGCACAACCACCCAUAGGUCUUACUAUCAGAGUGCAGAUUUCUAGCUUACAGGGCUUUGGGGGAACUCGGAUGCUCUAAGGUCCUAAACUCCUGCGGUGACCUUCAUUCACUUCAGGACACGACUCACCUAGCCAUGAACCCAAGUCCUUAAGGCUUUUCCAGGGAGCCCCCUGAAAAGUGUGGGAGACAGGGAAGAAGGGGCCCUUGCGCUGCACCCCUGAAGCAUCCCGGGCUGCAAGCACAGGAGGGAAGGCUGCUCACCUGGGGGCAGGAAGAGCGUGGCGCGCACCCGGCCCUCGCGCACCGGCACGCGCCGAACCCCGGGGGCCAUGAAGUGACGCUCGUGCACCGCCCGCGCCAGCCGCUGCCCGCCGUCGGGCUCGUGUCCGUCCAGCACCUCCAGCUCCACCACAAAGGGCGUCUGCACGUCGCGCUUGAUCAGGCGCCAGAAAGGCCGAUCGGGCUCCAUGGCCCAGAGCAGCCCCAUGGGCUCGAGCCCCGAGAAGCUGCCGCCCAGCGCGGGCGUGCGCGCCAGGUCCAGCUCGCCGUGGGAGUCCGCGCGGUAGCGCGCGUGGGCUCGGAAGAGCGCGCCCUUCUCGUCGCGCAGGACAGAGCGCAGCGUGACGGGCUGCUCCGGGGCCAGGCCGCGCACAGCGAUGUGCACCGGCUGGUCACAAAGGCAACCACCCGCGGGCUCCAGGAUCACAGUAGGUGCCAUCCGGUUCGGGUUCUGGGUGGUAAAUGCGUGCAUUGGUUCUGAUUGUGGCUCUGGCUUUGUGGCUUUUAGGCCUCCCUGGACUUGCUGUUACAGCUUAAAGUGUUCCUGGUUCUCUUAGAGAGAGCCUCUGUGAUAAGCCCGUUAGCGUUUGUUAAGUACGGGAGAUGCAUAAUGAUUAAUCUUGUCUUACAACUUGGUACGUGUUGAAAUCGUGUUUAAAAAGAAAGAUUGGGAAAGAUACCGCUACAAAAGUCUGGAUUGUGCCAAAGCAUAUCAGGGAACUGUCAUUCUACUGAUCCAUGCCAAACAAGCCCUUAUUCCCUUACUCUCCUUACGCCCCUUCCAAGCCUCUUUCUAGUCUUUGUGGAACCUGGAGCCACUUCUGCUGAAACCAGACUGAUUCUGCUCCUUAAUUACAUUCCAGGUAGCGGUGCCGGUGGUGGUGGUUGUUUUGAGAUAAGGUUUCCUCACUCUCAAGUUGACCUUGAAUUUUCUAUGUAGCUAAGGAUGGCCUGAAUUUCCUGCCCCCACCUUCCAAAUGUUGGGAAUCAGGGCCUGCCUGCACCACCAGCUCUGCGCUCGUCCGGUUCCUUGUCAAGAUGUGUAACCAUUUGUCCUUAACUGAAAAGGUUUCCUAGAAUGAGUCAAUGGGCAGGGAGUUGGUGUUUUCCAGCUCAGCUGAGAGAGAAAGUUCAAGCAAACUGGGUUUUUUGGAAAGGUUUCGUAAAUAGACGUGUUACAAAAGCAAGGGCAACUGCUCUGUAGAAAGAGAGAGCAGGCAUGUUAGAGUUGGGAAUAGAGGGAGAAAAGGGCUUGCAGCUGGGCGAGAGACAGCUAAGUUGGGUCAGGGUUGGCAGGUAGACAGGCUUCUCCGAAGCUCCUUCCCCAAGAAAGACAAACAAGGCCUUGUGGCUCAUUAACAGAGUCUUGCUUCUAAUGGAGCUAAUUGUAGCUGACUAAGUUUUAAGGGUGGCUUCU